rnacentral:rRNA from 1 species
CCUACGGGAGGCUGCAGUGGGGAAUAUUGCGCAAUGGGCGAAAGCCUGACGCAGCGACGCCGCGUGAGGGAUGAAGGUCUUCGGAUCGUAAACCUCUGUCAGCAGGGAAGAACGGUCACUGUGCUAAUCAGCAGUGAAUUGACGGUACCUGCAAAGGAAGCACCGGCUAACUCCGUGCCAGCAGCCGCGGUAAUACGGAGGGUGCGAGCGUUAAUCGGAAUUACUGGGCGUAAAGCGCUCGUAGGCGGUAUGUCAAGUCAAGGGUGAAAUCCCCGCGCUCAACGUGGGAAGUGCAUUUGAAACUGGCAGACUGGAGUGUGUGAGAGGAGAGUGGAAUUCCAGGUGUAGGAGUGAAAUCCGUAGAUAUAUGGAGGAACAUCAGUGGCGAAGGCGACUAUCUGGCACAUAACUGACGCUGAGGAGCGAAAGCGUGGGUAGCAAACAGGAUUAGAUACCCUUGUAGUC